rnacentral:rRNA from 1 species
AGAGUUUGAUCCUGGCUCAGAACGAACGUUGGCGGCGUGGAUUAGGCAUGCAAGUCGAACGAAUCCCUUGGGGGUAACUCUGAGGGGGAAGUGGCGAAAGGGGCAGUAAGGCAUGGGUAACUUGCCUCGGGGACUGGGAUAGCCUUCCUAACGGAAGGGUAAUACCGGGCGUCAUGAGUGGGGGGCAUCCUUUGCUCAUGAAAUCAAUUUGGCCCUGAGAGAGGCUCAUGUAGUAUUAGCUUGUUGGUGAGGUAACGGCUCACCAAGGCCAAGAUGCUUAGCGGGUGUGAGAGCACGACCCGCGCCACUGGCACUGGGACACUGGCCAGACUCCUACGGGAGGCUGCAGUCGAGGAUCUUCGGCAAUGGGCGCAAGCCUGACCGAGCGACGCCGCGUGCGCGAUGAAGGCCUUCGGGUUGUAAAGCGCUGUUCGAGGGGGAGGAAAGCCCGCAAGGGUCUGACCUAUCCCUGGAGGAAGCA